GGUGGCUCAGUGGUAGCGCGCUUGCCUUGCACGCCUGAGGCCCUGGGUUCGAUUCCCAGCACCA
rnacentral:tRNA from 1 species